GAAAAAAAAAAAUUUAAUGAUUUUCACUAAUUAUUCAUAGUUAGGAAUCACGUGCAAUGUUUUGAAAUAUUCUUAUGGAAGUGUCUGUUCUGCCAGACCCUUAAUUUCUUUGUGCUGUUUGCAGAGGUAGGAUGAGUCUAUCUUCAGAAUAAAAGCUCAUUAAGCUGUUAUAUGUUUGAUUUUUCAAUUUUUUUGUAAUGUGUCAAUGUUUUUUCAAUGGGUUUAGUAAUGUACGAUUCCAAGCCUUUUGAUGAGGGUAAGAGCACAACUUUUGGAUAUUGGAAGCGGGUAUGGUUCCACCAAGAUGGCUCUCAAUUAUUGGACUAUUAAUUUAAUGUUAUCUUUUAUUUAAA
rnacentral:misc_RNA from 1 species